GCGCGUGUAGCUCAGUGGUAGUAGCACCACUCUUAUAAAGUGGGGGUCGAUGGUUCGAAUCCAUCCACGCGCACCA
rnacentral:tRNA from 4 species